GACGAACGCUGGCGGCGUGCUUAACACAUGCAAGUCGAACGGUAAGGCCCUUCGGGGUACACGAGUGGCGAACGGGUGAGUAACACGUGGGUGAUCUGCCCUGCACUUCGGGAUAAGCCUGGGAAACUGGGUCUAAUACCGGAUAGGACCACUGCCUGCAUGGGUGGUGGUGGAAAGCUUUUGCGGUGUGGGAUGGGCCCGCGGCCUAUCAGCUUGUUGGUGGGGUGAUGGCGUACCAAGGUGACGACGGGUAGCCGGCCUGAGAGGGUGACCGGGGACACUGGCCCGGAGAUACGGCACAGGCUGAUGCGGGUGGUCGCAGUGGGGAAUAUUGCACAAGUGGCGCAAGGCUGCUGGGGCGACGCCGUGAGAGGGAUGACGGCGGUCGGGUUGUAAACCUCAUUCAGCACCGACGAAGCGCAAGUGACGGUAGGUGGAGAAGAAGGACCGGCCAACUACGGGCCAGCCGCCGCAGUAA
rnacentral:rRNA from 1 species